GAUGAACGCUGGCGGCGUGCCUAAUACAUGCAAGUCGAGCGAACAGACGAGGAGCUUGCUCCUCUGACGUUAGCGGCGGACGGGUGAGUAACACGUGAAUAACCUACCUAUAAGACUGGGAUAACUUCGGGAAACCGGAGCUAAUACCGGAUAAUCUAUUGAACCGCAUGGUUCAAUAGUGAAAGCCGGUUUUGCUGUCACUUAUAGAUGGAUCCGCGCCGCAUUAGCUAGUUGGUAAGGUAACGGCUUACCAAGGCAACGAUGCGUAGCCGACCUGAGAGGGUGAUCAGCCACACUGGAACUGAGACACGGUCCAGACUCCUACGGGAGGCAGCAGUAGGGAAUCUUCCGCAAUGGGCGAAAGCCUGACGGAGCAACGCCGCGUGAGUGAUGAAGGUCUUCGGAUCGUAAAGCUCUGUUAUUAGGGAAGAACAAAUGUGUAAGUAACUAUGCACGUCUUGACGGUACCUAAUCAGAAAGCCACGGCUAACUACGUG
rnacentral:rRNA from 1 species